CCUACGGGAGGCAGCAGUGGGGAAUAUUGGACAGUGGGCGAAAGCCUGAUCCAGCCAUGCCGCGUGUGUGAAGAAGGCCUUCGGGUUGUAAAGCACUUUCAGUGGGGAAGAAAGCCUUGGGGCUAAUACCCUCGAGGAAGGACAUCACCCACAGAAGAAGCACCGGCUAACUCCGUGCCAGCAGCCGCGGUAAUACGGAGGGUGCGAGCGUUAAUCGGAAUUACUGGGCGUAAAGCGCGCGUAGGCGGUCUGAUAAGCCGGUUGUGAAAGCCCCGGGCUCAACCUGGGAACGGCAUCCGGAACUGUCAGGCUAGAGUGCAGGAGAGGAAGGUAGAAUUCCCGGUGUAGCGGUGAAAUGCGUAGAGAUCGGGAGGAAUACCAGUGGCGAAGGCGGCCUUCUGGACUGACACUGACGCUGAGGUGCGAAAGCGUGGGUAGCAAACAGGAUUAGAUACCCCGGUAGUC
rnacentral:rRNA from 1 species